rnacentral:rRNA from 1 species
UUAAGUUAACAAGGGCGCAUGGUGAAUGCCUUGGCACUAGGAGCCGAUGAAGGACGGGACUAACACCGAUAUGCUUCGGGGAGCUGUACGUAAGCUAUGAUCCGGAGAUUUCCGAAUGGGGCAACCCAGCAGUUUUAAUCAACUGUUACCACUAGAUGAAUUCAUAGUCUAGUUGGAGGUAAACGCUGUGAACUGAAACAUCUCAUUAGCAGCAGGAAUAUAAAGAAAUUUCGAUUCCCUAAGUAGCGGCGAGCGAACGGGGAACAGCCCAAACCAAAGUGCUUGCACUUUGGGGUUGUAGGACUGAACAUUUGAGUUACCAAAGAACUUGAUAGUCGAAGGAUUUGGGAAAAUCCGCCAUAGAUGGUGAUAGCCCAGUAGAUUAAAUCAAAUUCUCUCAGUUCAGGAUCCUGAGUACGGCGGAACACGUGAAAUUCCGUCGGAAUCCGGGAGGACCAUCUCCCAAGGCUAAAUACUACCUAGUGACCGAUAGUGAACCAGUACCGUGAGGGAAAGGUGAAAAGCACCCCGGGAGGGGAGUGAAAUAGUUCCUGAAACCAUGUGCCUACAAUAAGUCAGAGCGCGUUAAUGCGUGAUGGCGUGCCUUUUGUAGAAUGAACCGGCGAGUUAUGAUCCCGUGCAAGGUUAAGACUAAAAAGUCGGAGCCGUAGCGAAAGCGAGUCUGAAAUGGGCGUUUUGAGUACGAGGUUAUAGACCCGAAACCAGGUGACCUAUCCAUGUCCAGGUUGAAGGUGCGGUAAAACGCACUGGAGGACCGAACCCGUGUAAGUUGAAAAUUGCUGGGAUGAGGUGUGGAUAGCGGUGAAAUUCCAAACGAACUUGGAGAUAGCUGGUUCUCUCCGAAAUAGCUUUAGGGCUAGCCUCGGAAUUAGGAUCAUGGAGGUAGAGCACUAUUUGGACUAGGGGCCCGUCUUGGGUUACUGAAUUCAGAUAAACUCCGAAUGCCAUUGAUUCAUAUCCGGGAGUCAGACGAUGAGUGAUAAGAUCCACCGUCGAAAGGGGAACAGCCCAGACCAUCAGUUAAGGUCCCUAAAUGUAUGCUAAGUGGAAAAGGAUGUGGAGUUGCAUAGACAACUAGGAUGUUGGCUCAGAAGCAGCCACCAUUUAAAGAGUGCGUAAUAGCUCACUAGUCGAGUGAUCCUGCGCCGAAAAUGUACCGGGGCUAAGCAUACUACCGAAACCAUGGAUGCGACCAUUAGGUCGCGUGAUAGGAGAGCGUUCUAAGGGCGGUGAAGCAAGAUCGUGAGGACUUGUGGAGCGCUUAGAAGUGAGAAUGCCGGUAUGAGUAGCGAAAGAUAGGUGAGAAUCCUAUCCACCGAAUGACUAAGGUUUCCUGGGGAAGGCUCGUCCUCCCAGGGUUAGUCGGGACCUAAGUCGAGGCCGAGAGGCGUAGACGAUGGAUAACAGGUUGAGAUUCCUGUACUAGUUAAGUGCGUUUGAGCAAUGGAGGGACGCAGGAGGCUAAGAUGUGCAUUCUGUUGGAUUAGAAUGUCCAAGCAGUAAGUCUUGUGAAGAGUCAAAUGCUUUUCACUUUAAGGACAAGCUGUGAUGGGGAGCGAAAUUUAGUAGCGAAGCGUCUGAUGUCACACUGCCGAGAAAAGCUUCUAGUGAGUACUUAACUACCCGUACCGCAAACCGACACAGGUAGUCGAGGAGAGAAUCCUAAGGUGAGCGAGUGAACUCUCGUUAAGGAACUCGGCAAAAUGACCCCGUAACUUCGGGAGAAGGGGUGCUGAUCGCAAGAUCAGCCGCAGUGAAUAGGCCCAGGCGACUGUUUAUCAAAAACACAGGUCUCUGCAAAAUCGUAAGAUGACGUAUAGGGGCUGACGCCUGCCCGGUGCUGGAAGGUUAAAAGGAUGGGUUAGCUUCGGCGAAGCUCAGAAUUGAAGCCCCAGUAAACGGCGGCCGUAACUAUAACGGUCCUAAGGUAGCGAAAUUCCUUGUCGGGUAAGUUCCGACCCGCACGAAAGGCGUAACGAUCUGGGCACUGUCUCAACGAGAGACUCGGUGAAAUUAUAUUGUCCGUGAAGAUGCGGACUACCCGCGACAGGACGGAAAGACCCCAUGGAGCUUUACUGUAGCUUGAUAUUGAGUGUUUGUACAGCUUGUACAGGAUAGGUAGGAGCCAUAGAAACCGGAACGCUAGUUUCGGUGGAGGCGUUGGUGGGAUACUACCCUCGCUGUAUGACCACUCUAACCCGCACCACUAAUCGUGGUGGGAGACAGUGUCAGGUGGGCAGUUUGACUGGGGCGGUCGCCUCCUAAAAAGUAACGGAGGCGCCCAAAGGUUCCCUCAGAAUGGUUGGAAAUCAUUCGCAGAGUGUAAAGGCACAAGGGAGCUUGACUGCGAGACAGACAGGUCGAGCAGGGACGAAAGUCGGGCUUAGUGAUCCGGUGGUACCGUAUGGAAGGGCCAUCGCUCAACGGAUAAAAGCUACCCUGGGGAUAACAGGCUUAUCUCCCCCAAGAGUCCACAUCGACGGGGAGGUUUGGCACCUCGAUGUCGGCUCAUCGCAUCCUGGGGCUGUAGUCGGUCCCAAGGGUUGGGCUGUUCGCCCAUUAAAGCGGUACGCGAGCUGGGUUCAGAACGUCGUGAGACAGUUCGGUCCCUAUCCGUCGCGGGCGUAGGAAAUUUGAGAGGACCUGUCCUUAGUACGAGAGGACCGGGAUGGACAUACCUCUGGUGUACCAGUUGUGCCGCCAGGCGCAUCGCUGGGUAGCUACGUAUGGAUGUGAUAAACGCUGAAAGCAUCUAAGUGUGAAACACACCUCGAGAUGAGAUUUCCCAUUUCUUUAUGGAAGUAAGACCCCUGAAAGAUGAUCAGGUAGAUAGGUUAGAAGUGGCAGUGCGGUGACGCAUGAAGCGGACUAAUACUAAUCGGUCGAGGACUUAACC